rnacentral:tRNA from 1 species
AUCUAAUUAGUUUAAGUAAAAUAUUAAAUUGUGGUUUUAAAGAUGAGGUUGACAUUAGAUA